AGGGAAUCUUCCGCAAUGGACGAAAGUCUGACGGAGCAACGCCGCGUGAGUGAUGAAGGUUUUCGGAUCGUAAAACUCUGUUGUUAGGGAAGAACAAGUACAAGAGUAACUGCUUGUACCUUGACGGUACCUAACCAGAAAGCCCCGGCUAACUACGUGCCAGCAGCCGCGGUAAUACGUAGGGGGCAAGCGUUGUCCGGAAUUAUUGGGCGUAAAGCGCGCGCAGGCGGUCCUUUAAGUCUGAUGUGAAAGCCCACGGCUUAACCGUGGAGGGUCAUUGGAAACUGGAGGACUUGAGUACAGAAGAGGAGAGUGGAAUUCCACGUGUAGCGGUGAAAUGCGUAGAGAUGUGGAGGAACACCAGUGGCGAAGGCGACUCUCUGGUCUGUAACUGACGCUGAGGCGCGAAAGCGUGGGGAGCGAAC
rnacentral:rRNA from 1 species